CACGUAGGGUGCGAGCGUUGUCCGGAAUUACUGGGCGUAAAGGGCGCGUAGGCGGCCUGUUAAGUCGGACGUGAAAUCCCUCGGCUCAACCGGGGAACUGCGUCCGAUACUGGCGGGCUUGAAUUCGGGAGAGGGAUGUGGAAUUCCAGGUGUAGCGGUGAAAUGCGUAGAUAUCUGGAGGAACACCGGUGGCGAAGGCGGCAUCCUGGACCGACAUUGACGCUGAGGCGCGAAAGCCAGGGGAGCAAACGGG
rnacentral:rRNA from 1 species